AGUGACUGCUAAACUCCGCGACACGUAUUCUAUCUCCAAGCCUCUCACAAAAUCUCACGUUCUCCCUCUAUCUUUUCCCAAUCUUGCUUCAUACAAUGUUCCAGAUUAAUCUUUUUCCUGAAAAUCACUGAGUUUCGUCCUUCCUACUUCCUAUUUCUGUUCGCCAGUGUGUAUCGCAAUGGUCAUUUCUUUACAGUAACAGAGACAUGAUUGAAGUGAUGGGGAACACCAAUCUUGUUAGGAAGAGGAUAUCGGUUCUUGACAGUAAGCUUGGAAAUCCAAGUAUAGAGCUGAAGUCGCUAAAAACUGUCACACCCUGAUUUCCCGGCCCAUGGAAAGUUCAUCACUGUUACCCCUCUGGUUUUCUAGGAGAAUAACCUUCCCGGUUUGAAACUUAUGUAGUGUACGAACGCGCGUUAGCCACUAUAAUGCAUUUUAUGGUUCUUAGUUACCUUAUAUUUUGUUUGUAGCUAUCCUUAUUUGCUUCAAGUUUGCGUUACCGGGAUGUGCUUUUCAAGUUACGUUAGUUGCUUUCUUAUGAGAAUCUGUUGUAUUAGAAAAAAAAAAAAAAAAACUAGAAAUAAUGUUCUCCUUUUGAUAUUUCUCUUAUACAGUAGAAAAUCUUGAAUUCAAACUUUUCACAAAACUAGAGUCACAUUCUUUUUAUCCUUAGUA
rnacentral:lncRNA from 1 species